GACGAACCGUGCGACCGUUGUUCGGAAUCACUGGGCAUAAAGGGCGCGUAGGCGGCUUUUCAAGUCAGGGGUGAAAUCCGGCAGCUCAACUGUCGAAGUGCCCUUGAUACUGAUGAGCUCGAGGGAGGUAGGGGUCUGUGGAACUUCCGGUGGAGCGGUGAAAUGCGUUGAUAUCGGAAGGAACGCCGGUGGCGAAAGCGACGGACUGGACCUCUUCUGACGCUGAGGCGCGAAAGCCAGGGGAGCAAACGGG
rnacentral:rRNA from 1 species